rnacentral:rRNA from 1 species
UACGUAGGGCGCGAGCGUUGUCCGGAAUUAUUGGGCGUAAAGAGCUCGUAGGCGGCCUGUCGCGUCAAUUGUGAAAGCCCGGGGCUCAACCCCGGGUCUGCAGUCGAUACGGGCAGGCUAGAGUUCGGUAGGGGAGAUCGGAAUUCCUGGUGUAGCGGUGAAAUGCGCAGAUAUCAGGAGGAACACCAGUGGCGAAGGCGGCUAACUGGUCCGGUACUGACGCUGAGGUGCGAAAGCGUGGGGAGCAAACAGG